rnacentral:rRNA from 1 species
AACGAACGCUGGCGGCAGGCCUAACACAUGCAAGUCGAACGCUGUAGCAAUACAGAGUGGCAGACGGGUGAGUAACGCGUGGGAACAUGCCCUUCGGUUCGGACUAACUCAGGGAAACUUGAGCUAAUACCGGAUACGCCCUUAGGGGGCAAGAUUUAUUGCCGAAGGAUUGGCCCGCGUCCGAUUAGCUAGUUGGUGAGGUAACGGCUCACCAAGGCGACGAUCGGUAGCUGGUCUGAGAGGAUGAUCAGCCACACUGGGACUGAGACACGGCCCAGACUCCUACGGGAGGCAGCAGUGGGGAAUAUUGGACAAUGGGCGCAAGCCUGAUCCAGCCAUGCCGCGUGAGUGAUGAAGGCCCUAGGGUUGUAAAGCUCUUUCGCCAGGGACGAUAAUGACGGUACCUGGAUAAGAAGCCCCGGCUAACUUCGUGCCAGCCGCCGCCGUAAUAC